CGGAAAUGUCAGCAAGCAAUAUUUUAUAACUGCUUCGUUGGAAUUAGGAGACUUUCGAGCAGCUUCACACUCAAUGGAAUGAUGCCGUCCCCCUGAACUUUGAAACUGCGAAUGUAAGGUGUGACAACGUGGAGGAACACGUGUGGGCUCUUUAUCACUGAAAAACGAGCAGACAUCAUAAUUCAGAAGAGCCUAAAACGCUUGACCUACUUUCAAGGCCAACCGGCCCGGUUGAAUGUAAAAACACAACCUUCAAGGGUCACUUCAGACCCUGAAAAUUAACACUCGGGCACUAAAAUUUAAAACACCAGCAAGACAGAAAAAGAGGAAAAAAUCAGGGAAAAGCUGAAAAAUAUUGAAAAUCUUACAAAAAUGUGCGUCUGCGAGUGCGUAAGGCGGGUUGCGUCGUGUCCGGAGCGAGGUGUUGGCAGGACGGUGGCCCUCGAGGAACUCUGGCCGACCUGCCGGGAGGUCGGACGACUAAGGAGCGGCGGUGGCGGCGCCGGUGCGCACUUGUGCGCACCGUGCGCACCCUACGCACUUUCAGCUAGGAUCGAACGAAGCCUCCCUCGCCUGCUGCGUAACGACAGUCGGUGCCAAAAGUGCGAAAUCCACCCCUCCACCCCCGU